UAGAAGAAAGCUCGCUGGAUGGAGUUUUUAGCUGUUAACUAAAAUGUUGUAGGAUCAAGGCCUGCUCUUCUAG
rnacentral:tRNA from 2 species